rnacentral:lncRNA from 1 species
GGAAUUAUAUGAGGUCUGACAUUCAGUCCUACCAAGGCUAGUCAAGCUUACUACCUCCCUGUAAAUGAGCGCAAACUACAUGCCUUCUUAUACUAAGAGUGAUUUGAAGUAUUAAUUGCUCUAUUUUUACUUUCCAACGUUGGGCACGAUGUUCCUACAACCCCUAGAAUUUAAACAGAAUCUUCGACAUUUCAUACGCAAAACAAUAUAAAAAUGUUAGAAAACACGAACCAAUAUUAAAACAAAUUCAACAUAUGUUUUAAAUUAUGUUUUACAGCC